rnacentral:rRNA from 1 species
GACAGAGGGUGCAAACGUUGUUCGGAAUUACUGGGCGUAAAGCGCGUGUAGGCGGCUAAGUAAGUCGGGCGUGAAAUCCCACGGCUCAACCGUGGAAGUGCACUCGAAACUGCAUAGCUAGAGUCCUGGAGAGGAAGGUGGAAUGCUUGGUGUAGAGGUGAAAUUCGUAGAUAUCAAGCGGAACACCGAUGGCGAAGGCAGCCCCCUGGGUCGACACUGACGCUCAGGCACGAAAGCGUGGGGAGCAAACAGG